UCGCAGCUUGCGCCGGCAGUCCCGACAGAGUCCUCUGCUUCACCAGUUAGCAACUGUCGGUAGGGGUUGCGCUCGUUAUGGCACUUAAGCCGACACCUCACGGCACGAGCUGACGACAACCAUGCAGCACCUCGCGCCAGGUCAUUGCUGACUCCCCUCCUUUCGAAGGGGAUCCCUGACGCGUUUGAGCCCGGGUAAGGUUCCUCGCGUAUCAUCGAAUUAAACCACAUGUUCCUCCGCUUGUGCGGGCCCCCGUCAAUUCCUUUGAGUUUCACCGUUGCCGGCGUACUCCCCAGGUGGGAUGCUUAACGCUUUCGCUUUGCCACCCAGGCCCCAUUCGGCCCGGACAGCUGGCAUCCAUCGUUUACUGUGCGGACUAC
rnacentral:misc_RNA from 1 species